CAACAGCUCCCUCUCUAAAAUCACACGUUCAGAUAUUUAAAAAUGGACAUAUCUUACAGUAUGUGUCAUGUAUUAACCUUCUCUUUCCUAAGGUUAUAGCAAGUUCCUGUUAAAGGUUCAAGUACAUUAGGUUAAUGACACUAAGAGGAUAAGUACAAUUCUCUGCUAUUGAAGACUACAUUGAGAACUGUACAUUAACUGAAGACUAUAAAGAAUUACUUAAUAUUAUAGUUUAUAAUAAUUUUAGCAUUUUUGUUUAAUACACA